UCCAACUCCUGACCUCAUGAUCCCCCCGCCUCAGCCUCCCAAAGUGCUGGGAUUACAAGCGUGAGCCACCGCGACCCGCCAACACUCUUGACAACAGUGCUGUGCUAAGAACUUGGGGGACUUCAAAAAGUUCACCAGUUCCUGUGUCCAUGGGUGAAAAGAUUUUCUACAUCUUUCCUUGACUAGAAACAGAAGUCCUGAAACAAGAAUAUAACGUCAGGAGGCCAGAGGCUUUGUCCUGCCUAAUGUGUUAUUUCCACACUGAAUAAAAGCACCUGAGUCCUGAAUUCUCCAAACACCACCUCACACAGUUUUGGAAUCUCUUUGUCUUCAUUUCCCAGAAUUUGGAAGAGUUCAUCUAGUAUCUCUGGUAGGUAAUCCAGCAGGUUAAAAUCUGGUACAGGCUCCAGAACCAGCAUCCAAGUGAUGAUGAACUGACAGGCCUACUGGUUGUUGGACCAAAUCCUCUCCGGCAACAGAAGAUUGGAGCCUACUAUGUCAAACUUGUUUUUCUCAAUCACAACGUGCUUUAAAAACGGAAGUGUAGGAGCUCGGAUUUGCUUUUCAUAUUGUGUGUGAUUAGCAGCCAAUUUAGCCCAUCAGAGAGAAUGCUGAGUGUGGCAGCACGGUGCCUGGGACGACCUUGAUGGAGUUAUAUAUGUACUAAGCUCCAGUUUAGUAGUGCAUUCCACUGUCUACGUCAUUGAAGCAGGUCAGCAUCAGAUCAAUCGACUUCUUCAUGUAGAACCCUGAGUUUCUGUUCAGUGGCAUAGAGCUGGUGAUCAAACCAAUGGGCCCCUUCUAGCUAUGGGGAUGCUAAGACAGGGCAAACUCCUGGGGCAGAGGUGAUCUGCCCUGUGUUCUGGGCUAGGAACUCCCAGACGACCUUUUAGAUGUCCAGUUCUGCUCCCUUCUUCCUUUCGUACAGCUUGUCAAUGAGGACUCAGAUGAUGUUGGGCGUGAUUAGUGUGAAGUCUUUUUCUGAGUUCAUGGUGUCAGCUCACGGCACACCUGCAAGCCCUCUCAGCAGCAGCUUCCAUCUUCCUCUGUGAGCCCCCAGUCUCUCUUCCUUUU
rnacentral:lncRNA from 1 species